rnacentral:rRNA from 1 species
AACGCGAAGAACCUUACCAUCCUUUGACAUGGCGUGUUACCCAGAGAGAUUUGGGGUCCACUUCGGUGGCGCGCACACAGGUGCUGCAUGGCUGUCGUCAGCUCGUGUCGUGAGAUGUUGGGUUAAGCCCCGCAACGAGCGCAACCCACGUCCUUAGUUGCCAUCAUUCAGUUGGGCACUCUAGGGAGACUGCCGGUGAUAAGCCGCGAGGAAGGUGUGGAUGACGUCAAGUCCUCAUGGCCCUUACGGGAUGGGCUACACACGUGCUACAAUGGCGGUGACAGUGGGACGCGAAGGAGCGAUCUGGAGCAAAUCCCCAAAAGCCGUCUCAGUUCGGAUUGCACUCUGCAACUCGAGUGCAUGAAGGCGGAAUCGCUAGUAAUCGUG